rnacentral:tRNA from 1 species
UUAGGUGAAGCCAAAGAGAGGCUUAUCACUGUUAAUGAUAGAAUUGGGAUUUACCCCCACCUAAG